rnacentral:RNase_P_RNA from 1 species
UCAGUCGGCCGGACGGCCGCUCCGGCAAGUGCCGAAAGGCCGCCGGGGAGGAAAGUCCGGGCUCCCUUGACAUACGGUGCCGGAUAACGUCCGGCGGGGGCGACCCCAGGGAAAGUGCCACAGAGAACGAACCGCCCGCCGUGGCAGCGCAAGCUGCGUAGGCAGGUAAGGGUGAAAAGGUGCGGUAAGAGCGCACCGCGGCUGCGGCAACGGAGCCGGCAUGGUAAACCCCACCGGGAGCAAAACCGAAUAGGGACGGCGUAGCGGGCUGUUCGCGAAAGCGAUAACGCCGCGGGGCGAUGUCAGGCCCGCCGUCCGGGUAGGUUGCUCGAGGCCCUGUGCAAACAUGGUCCCAGAGGAAUGGCCGUCACGUAUCGUUCGCGCAAGCGGACGGUGCCUUACAGAACCCGGCUUACAGGCCGGCUGAUAUU